AUCAACAAGUCCUCCAACUCAUACGACCGUAUGGGUCGUUUGUCACUAUCCAUAAAUACGACCCACACGAGCGUUCUCUAAAUUAGCGCCCCUAUUGGCAACAGGAGGUAUGAUAAAUGAACUUUCGCCUAAAUGCAUUGUGGGUUUAUUUUAACAUGUUUGCUAUUUGCGUUUUGAAUUGUUUGAUUUAAACUCUCCCAGAUGUUCGUGGAUUUUGAUGAUAUGGAUUUUAGAUGACUUCGAGACAUGUACAGUUUUGCAGUUUCUUCAUAUCACAUACAUCUCCAGCUCCUACAACAACAUUCAGUGUCCAGCAGCUCUUUAUGAUGCUCUCUCUCUCUCUCUCUCUCUCUCUCUCUCUCUCUCUCUCUCUCUCAUUUUCCUUUCCUAUUUUUCUGAACUGUAAUUCAUAAAUAAGUCACACAUAUUUUUCUUUCUUUCUCUUGUUCAUCAUGGCAUAUUUUCACAGCUCAGAAUCAGAUUUUGAUCAGUUCUUGUAUUAACAGGGAACUUGUACUCGAAGCUCAACUUGAAGAAGUUUCCAGUGAAGAUGAAGUCCUUCAAAGGUUCGACACAGCUGAAAAGGAAGACCAUGGGCCUGUCAAACCUUGUUUGUGGAGAGGGAUGAAUUUGACCAUCUUGUGUGUUUACGGAGAAGACCAAAAGCUGCUAAGGCAGAUAUUUCCAGAGGUACAAACAGAGCGGAUGGUUGCAUGAUGGCCUCUUUCAGGUUUGUCAACUGAAUGUCUACUAGUGUGGCUCAGCAAGUUCCUGUCAUGAUCAGCCCUCUCCAAGAAAGCUGAAGAGCAAAAACACAAAGAACAUCAGUCCUGUUGGGGAUGAGGAAUGAACAUGGCUCUAUUGUGCCCAAACAGAAAAGAGUGAAAAGUCCUAGAAUGAACAAAUCAUCAGGGCAUCAUUUCUGGAAUUUGGGCAGAAAAUGACUGAAUAUGAAAGACUGCAGUAGAAGGAAAGCUGGUACUGAGAACAUUUGUCUUCACUCCAGACUAAAGAGAAGCAGGUCUGAGGCCAGAGAUGGAGGAGUCAAUGGUCACCAAAUGCAGCGCUGCAGCCUGAAACUGUGAAGACUGAAUUCCCAAACAGCUGUGUGACUGCACAGAUGUUACGGCCAUAAAAGAAACUUCACAACUGAGAGCCCAUACCUCCAACAACCUUCAACAGGAAUCAAUGGACAUCUACGCAAGGUUUUUCUUUUGUUGAGGACCGUCAGAGACUCCAGCCACACGAGCCAUGGAUUGCUCUCAACAUCACCAUCAGACAGACAUUAUCACAGAACCAGCACCAGCAGACUGCAAGACAAGUUCCUUCAACAGGCAAUCAGACUGAACUGA